AGCAGUCUGGAAAUACCCCAGUCAGAAAGAAGAGACAUGCAUAUCUCCUCCCAAGAGAAGCAGCAGCUGGGGAACUGGAAGCCUAGAGUGGGUGCCUUUGCUGCACCACAGAGGGUGAAUACAGUGUCUCAGUGAGGAGAAGUCUUGGAAAGUGGAGUACACUGUAUUUCAGAGGUGAAAUGUUCCAUUUGUGACAUUGCUUCCUCCCUCCAGGAGCCACAGAACAUGUGUGGUACAGUCAGGACAAGGCACAGUGCUGCUUUCAUCUUGCCUAAUGAGAGUGAACUGACCUGGAAAGAACUUUUACUGUCUGUAGGCAACAGAUAAUUGAGCUUCGUUCAAUCUCUGGCUUAUAUUGUUAGGGAAAAGAGAACUGGUUUGCUAGCAUCUGCUAAAUAAUAUGAUUUCUAAUGCUGGCUGCAGAUGGCUUAUGUGAACCUGAACAGAGGACAGACUUGUUACACCUAUGACCAUGACUCAAAGCAACCAUUUACCCACAAAAUGAAAUCACUGAAACUUGGUCUUGCCUUCAUUGCUCAGAAAAGUGUAUUUUUUUCCCCUUCAGGGUAACCAGCAUGCAUGAGCUAUCCCAAGGUAAAAACACGAUACUGACCUCACCUACUUUACCUAGGACCUUGUGUCCACUAUUUUUUCCCAAGGAGAAAACUCACCUCUUUUUUGGAGAAGGUAAGGCCUUUACCCUUGCAGAGAAAAGGCAGGAUUCCCGGAACAUCAAAAACAUAUACUGAAAGGGCAGGUCCUUUUCUUCUGGAGACUUGGGUAAAUUAGUUGAAAUCUGAUUUAGAUUUUUAAAUGAAAGUAAGAAGAGCUAGUUUUUUCAUCAAAACGUUUUUCAUUAAAAAAAUGUUGAUUUGUCAAAACCAAAGCUGUUUGUGAAAUAAGUUCAGGUUCAACAAAUUUCCCAUCUCUCUCAAAAAAAAAAAAAAAAAAAAAAAAAGGUAGAGGAAGAAUGCUUUGAAAUUGUGAAUUGACACUUCUGAAAUGAAAUGAAAAGUUCUGAUUUUUCAUUUAAAAUGACAUUUCAUUUGAAAAUUUAAGCUAAUUGGACUGAAAAAAAAUAAGGUUACGUACAUACAACAAAGGUCAACACUGAAAUAAAAUCCUUCAAAAUUAUCAAAAUGACAUAUUUCAGCUGACCCCAAAUGAAAACCUUUUGACUCAUGAAUCUUUUUCAAGUUUUUGAGUUUUUGUGCUGACUCGAGAUGGGAAAAAAAUCUCAAGCUCUCAAAAAUAUUAACGUAAUGGGAAAAACCUUUCCCACCUAGCUCGAGUCUUAAUAUGAGAAAUUGUCUUUUUCUGUGUAAGGCUGAGACUACAGAGAUCAACUGAUAUGGUCAGCAUAACAGUCACUAGAUUUGAAUGUUUUCAGUGGAGAGACCUAGUGUAGGCCACAAUCCAGAAAAGAAUUUAAGCAUGUACUUAAUUUUAAACAUGUGAAUAGUCUUGUAAACCUCAUCUUCACUGGGGAAGAAAGGUGUGUUCUUAACUCAUGAUAGGUAAUGUAGUAACUAACACAAGGUAAAAAUCUUUGUGAAUACAAGGCAAUUUGUUGGUUUAACAUGAAUUAGCAGGUUGAGGUAAAUCCUAGGCUCCUCCAUUCUCUUUACCUUGAGCUGCUAACAUAUGAAAAACUAGAAACUGCCUUGUCUUCACUAAGAUUUUACCUUUUGUUAGUUAUCACAUGCUACCUAACGUGAGUUGAGAACACACCUUAUUUCCCAGUGAAGAUGUAUCCUAUAAAGAGUUUGAUUCUGUGGCUAUGUCUACAAUAGGAGCACUUUACCAGUAUAGGAACGCCGGUAUAGUAUACUGGCAAAGUGCUCCUGGUAUAGAUUCAGCUACUCAGACAAAGCUGUGCUCGAUACCAAUAUAGUAAAACAACCCCACGCGAGUGAAACAAGCUAUACCGGUAAAAGCUCAGUUUUGCUGAUAUUGCUGCAUCUACAUGAGGGAAUUCUGCCCAUCAGAGAUCACACCUCUUCAUAUCCUUGACUAAUAUAGCUACACAGACAGAAGU